CUCAACCAUGGGAGACGGCGGAGUAGGAACUCGAUCAGUAGGCUCAACUGGAGCUGGAGCUGAAGCCUCUACCAUGGGCGACUGCAUAGAAUCAACUGGAGCUGGAGCUGAAGCCUCAACCGCGUGAGAGGUCGCAGCAUGAUCGCCGCGCCGGCUAGAAGCAUGUAAUCGCCGGUGUCUAUCCUCUGUAGGCCCCGCAUCCUCACUAGCUCGAGACCUCUUUCUGUUCUUCAUUCUCACUAUAUAUUCAGAGCAAACAUUUUCUAAAUAAAUUCACUGAAUAAAUUAUACUCGCUCAAUUACUAAAUUUCUCAAUUAAAUCUCUAAAUAAAAUCACUAAAUAAUUCACAAUGUUUAUAACUAAAUUAAAAACAUUUUAUAAAUUAACUAAGCUAAUUAGAUUAGGUUUUAUAAAUAAACUAAGCUAAUUAUAUUAAGUUUUAUAAAAACAUUUUAUAAAUUAAGUUUAUAACCCUAAACAGACACCAAAUACGGAACAUUAAGUUUCAUAUCCAAUACGGAACAUUAAGUUUCGUAUCCAAUACGGAACAUUAAGUUUCAUAUUGAAUACGGAACAUUAUGUUCCGUAUCGAACCAGAGAUCCAUUAACGACAUUGCAUGAAUGGAACUCGCCCCAAAGGCCAAUUUAUACACAAUUUCAGCCAACAUAACAUCUACUUAAGCAUAAAUCGACUACCCUAGGGUUGCAAGAUUCCAUAAUUCCAAGUUAAAUGGUGAAUUCAAGUUGAAAUCCAAACUUACUUACCUCUAGGUUCAAU
rnacentral:lncRNA from 1 species